rnacentral:rRNA from 1 species
GUGAGCGGCGGACGGGUUAGUAACGCGUGGGAACGUGCCCAGAUCUAAGGAAUAGCCACUGGAAACGGUGAGUAAUACCUUAUACGCCCUUCGGGGGAAAGAUUUAUCGGAUUUGGAUCGGCCCGCGUUAGAUUAGAUAGUUGGUGGGGUAAUGGCCUACCAAGUCUACGAUCUAUAGCUGGUUUUAGAGGAUGAUCAGCAACACUGGGACUGAGACACGGCCCAGACUCCUACGGGAGGCAGCAGUGGGGAAUCUUGGACAAUGGGGGCAACCCUGAUCCAGCCAUGCCGCGUGAGUGAUGAAGGCCUUAGGGUCGUAAAGCUCUUUCGCCAGGGAUGAUAAUGACAGUACCUGGUAAAGAAACCCCGGCUAACUCCGUGCCAGCAGCCGCGGUAAUACGGAGGGGGUUAGCGUUGUUCGGAAUUACUGGGCGUAAAGCGCGCGUAGGCGGACCAGAAAGUUGGGGGUGAAAUCCCGGGGCUCAACCCCGGAACUGCCUCCAAAACUCCUGGUCUAGAGUUCGAGAGAGGUGAGUGGAAUUCCGAGUGUAGAGGUGAAAUUCGUAGAUAUUCGGAGGAACACCAGUGGCGAAGGCGGCUC